GAAUAUUCCGCAAUGGACGGAAGUCUGACGGAGCGACGCCGCGUGGAUGACGAAGGCCGAAAGGUUGUAAAGUUCUUUUGCUGGGGAAGAAUAACCGCAGGAGGGAAUGCCUGUGGGAUGACAAGAACCGGCGAAUAAGCCCCGGCCAACUACGUGCUAGCAGCCGCGGUAACACGUAGGGGGCGAGCGUUGUCCGGAAUUACUGGGCGUAAAGGGCAUGUAGGCGGGUUGGAAAGCCUGGCGUGAAAGUCUGCAGCUUAACUGCAGGGGUGCGCUGGGAACAGCGGAGCUUGAGUGACGGAGAGGGAGCUGGAAUUCCUGGUGUCGGGGUGAAAUCUGUAGAUAUCAGGAAGAAGACGGAUGGAGAAGGCAAGCUCCUGGCCGAUGACUGACGCUGAGGUGCGAAAGUGUGGGGAUCAAACA
rnacentral:rRNA from 1 species